AAGAAAACAAAAAGAAUAAGGAGAAUGUGGACUUGAUCUAUUUAAUAACUAAUAAGUAUGCUUUCAGUGAACUCAAAUGUUGCUGCUUCAUUUGAUAAUCAAAUACACCAGAAAUGUCCACAUGCAACUCAGUGCAAAUUUCUACCAUUGAACUCCAGUCCUCAUGCAUGGUCAGAAUCGUAUACGUCUGAAGUAUUAAUUCUACGUAAAUUUCUUACUUACAGUAAUUGGAUUAAAACUUUGAUUUACAGAAACUUGAACCAUCUUUCUCCAAACAUCACUUGUUACCGAGGCAUCGGUAGUUACAACAUGCAAAGUUGCAUUUCAAAUCCAGUAAGGUACUCUCGCUGCUUAAGGGAGAAACAGCGAAAUUCCGAAGAUACUUACACCAAGCAUUCUUGCCAUUGGCACAACUGCUGAUUAAGGGAGAAACAGCGGAAUUCCGAAGAUACUGACACCAAGCAUUGUUGCCAUGUUAGGAUGAAUCAUCCCAGAACCCUUUGCCAUGCCCCCGACUCUUAUUCGAGUUCCUCUGACCU
rnacentral:lncRNA from 1 species